UCUCAGUAUAUACUUUAGGGGCUAAUAAAGUAUGCAAUUUUAGGUGCCUUAAUAAUUUACUAUUUUUGUUAAAAUGGCAAAGAAUUAAAAAAAAUCCUAAUAGUCAAACUUGAUGUAAUGUUGUUUAACAAAGUAAUGUAUUCAUGCCAAUCAAACAUAUCAAAGAUUGACAGUUUAGUGACAGAGGCUCUACAACCGAAUCUAUUUUCAGAUGUGAUACAAGAUCUGUUAGUGAACAGCAUUAGCUCCAGUUCACACUCCCGACCAGAUGGUGGCGGAAUUGCACACUUUGUUUUUUUGUUUUUUUAAAGCGCCAUAAAAAGAAAAGAAGAAGCCAUGCGGCAGAGAAGAUAACAGACACUGUUCAAAUUCGCAAUUUUUACUCACAGAAUAUUGCCUCAUACAAAGAGAGGGCCUUGAUAAUAGUUAGUAGUUUUGAUAAAUUCAAGCUACGUCCUAGUCCGAGUUAGACGACAACACAACAGGACAACAACAGGAUGGAAAUUAAAUGUGUGUCACAAAAGGAACGGAAGUGACUAAGGCUGCUAACGUGUUGCUAGCUGGUGUCUAAUCAAAUGAAGAUGAAACAGGAAGCCAGAGAGAUCAGGUGUUAGAAAACCUAAAGACUUUUCUGUCUCAGAAGAAGCUGUGGCUCCACCAGAUCAACAACCAGCUCUGAGGAUGAACCUCCACAUUGUCUUCCUGGUGGAAGGAUUUUUUUUUUUUUACUGACCAGCUAGCUACAUUUUCAACAGCAAAAACUGUUGUGUUACCAACACUAAAUGCUUAAUAAACAUGAUUUGAUU